GUCAUAUGCUUGUCUCAAAGAUUAAGCCAUGCAUGUCUCAGUACAAGCCAAAUUAAGGUGAAACCGCGAAAGGCUCAUUAAAUCAGUUAUGGUUCCUUAGAUCGUACUCACAAUUACUUGGAUAACUGUGGUAAUUCUAGAGCUAAUACAUGCAAACAGAGCUCCGACCGGAGACGGAAGGAGUGCUUUUAUUAGAUCAAAACCAAUCGGUGGCGGGUUCGCUCGUCAUCGUACAACUUGGUGACUCUGAAUAACUUUACGCUGAUCGCACGGUCAUCGCACCGGCGACGCAUCUUUCAAAUGUCUGCCUUAUCAACUGUCGAUGGUAGGUUCUGCGCCUACCAUGGUUGUAACGGGUAACGGGGAAUCAGGGUUCGAUUCCGGAGAGGGAGCCUGAGAAACGGCUACCACAUCCAAGGAAGGCAGCAGGCGCGCAAAUUACCCACUCCCGGCACGGGGAGGUAGUGACGAAAAAUAACGAUACGGGACUCAUCCGAGGCCCCGUAAUCGGAAUGAGUACACUCUAAACCCUUUAACGAGGAUCAAUUGGAGGGCAAGUCUGGUGCCAGCAGCCGCGG
rnacentral:rRNA from 1 species